UCUAGCAACCGCAAUUGGAGCCAUGUUGGAAGACCAAUCAGUCUGUUGGAAGUCCUCCAACAGUCCAGAAGGCUGGCUGUGUUCUGCUAUCACUGGAAACUUCGGGAAGAUUGCCCAUUAUUUUGUUUUUCCAAGGACCCAGAAAACGGAGGCAUUGGGAGAACCUAUUCAAAUAUAGAGAGCCGUGAAACCCUGCCUGCAGCUGAAGAGGUCCCAAUGAAUGUCCCAAGAGAAUAAAGGCUGGAACAGAAGUCUGCUCAGCCAGUAGUUUAGGGAUCAGUGGAGUGAGGGUGGCCACCUCUGGAGCCUCCCGAGUGACGUAGCGGUCUAAGGCACUGCAUCGCAGUGCUAGAGGCGUCACUACAGACCCAGAUUUGAUCCCAGGCUGUGUCGCAGCCAGCUGCGACCAGGAGACCCAUGAGGUGGCGCACAUGCACAAUUGGCCCAGUGUCAUCCAGGUUAGGGGAGGGUGUCCAUCACGCGCUAGCAACUCCCUGUGCCAGGCCAGUAUGGUGUUUCCUCCGACACAUUGGUGCGCCUGGCUUCUGGGUUAAGUAAACAGUGUGUCAAGAACAUGUGCAGCAUGGCAGGGUUGUGUUUCGGAGGAUGCUUUCAAUCUUCACCUCUCACGAGUCCGUACGGGAGUUGCAGCGAUGGGACAAGACUGUAACUACCAAUUUGGAUAUCACAAAAAAGGGGUAGAAAGUACACUUUUUUUUUUUUACAAAGAAAUAAGUUAAUUGUUAACUUAACUAUAUUAUUCAAGAUGAACUAGUGUCAAUAUCGAUUAACCACAGCUCACAAUCCUGCAAUAAAGAGGGUAAGGGAGUUUGUCUCUUCUCAAAUGAGCAAUACCUACGUUUUUGUUCAGUUGUAAGCUGUCCAAUUAGUUUUGCUUGAUUGUCACUUUUUUUCAAGAUACAGCAUCAGCCAUGUGAACCCAUUUUGCAGCUGAUAAUGGCAUGCAAAGCCAAUGCAGUCAUAGACCUACAGCAGUGGUUCCCAACUCCCAUCCUUGAGUACCCCCAAUAGCACACAUUUUUGUUGCAGUUCUAGACAAACAUACCUGAUUCAUCUGGUUGAGAGCCUAAUGAUUAGUUGAUAAGUUGAUUCAGGUGUGCUUGUCCGGGGCUACAAUAAAACUGUGUACUGUUGGGGGUAGUCAAGGACCGGAGUUGAGAAACACUGGCCUAGAGUUUGAUGGCAUUAGCCUUAUGGGCAUUAGCCUUAUGGGCAUUAGCCUUAUGGGCAUUAGCCUUAUGGGCAUUAGCCUUAUGGGCAUUAGCCUUAUGGGCAUUAGCCUUAUGGGCAUUAGCCUUAUGGGCAUUAGCCUUAUGGGCAUUAGCCUUAUGGGCAUUAGCCUUAUGGGCAUUUGCAUUGCACCCCUUGACAUUGUGCACCUGAACCAGAGAACAUCUUAACUCACAAAUUGUUUACAUAUUGUUGAGCUAUAUUCUCAAUUUAAAAACAAUGCCAGUAGACAAUUUAUGAGGCUAAUUGUUAUGCUAGAUGUUGUACAUACCUUGUGCUGACAUUUAAAUUGUUUAGUGCAAAUCCAACAUGUAUAAUCUUGGUGAUGAAAUGUCUGGAAACAGGAAAUGGGAUCCUUAGUUUAAAACAUCAAUACUACAUAAUGGGAAGGCAAAAAGUGAUUUAAAAAAAAAAAAACUUUUGCAAAUGUAUUUGAAUUUUAACUGCAAUAUCAUAUUUCAUGAUGCUGCCACCACCAUGCUUCACUUUACGGCUGGUGCCAGGUUUCCUCCAGACAUGACACUUGGCAUUUAGGCCAAAGAGUUCAAUCUU